rnacentral:rRNA from 1 species
UAGGGAAUCUUCGGCAAUGGACGAAAGUCUGACCGAGCAACGCCGCGGGAGUGAAGAAGGUUUUCGGAUCGUAAAACUCUGUUGUUAGAGAAGAACAAGGACGUUAGUAACUGAACGUCCCCUGACGGUAUCUAACCAGAAAGCCACGGCUAACUACGUGCCAGCAGCCGCGGUAAUACGUAGGUGGCAAGCGUUGUCCGGAUUUAUUGGGCGUAAAGCGAGCGCGGGCGGUUUCUUAAGUCUGAUGUGAAAGCCCCCGGCUCAACCGGGGAGGGUCAUUGGAAACUGGGAGACGUGAGUGCAGAAGAGGAGAGUGGAAUUCCAUGGGUAGCGGUGAAAUGCGUAGAUAUAUGGAGGAACACCAGUGGCGAAGGCGGCUCGUUGGUCUGUAACGGACGCUGAGGCUCGAAAGCGUGGGGAGCAAACAGG